UACGGGGGGGGCAAGCGUUGUUCGGAGUUACUGGGCGUAAAGGGCUCGUAGGCGGCCAACUAAGUCGGACGUGAAAUCCCUCAGCUUAACUGGGGAACUGCGUCCGAUACUGGAUGGCUUGGAUUUGGGAGAGGGAUGCGGAAUUCCAGGUGUAGCGGUGAAAUGCGUAGAUAUCUGGAGGAACACCGGUGGCGAAGGCGGCAUCCUGGACCAAUAUUGACGCUGAGGAGCGAAAGCCAGGGGAGCAAACGGG
rnacentral:rRNA from 1 species